rnacentral:lncRNA from 1 species
AGAAAAUCUAAUUUAAUCUUUUCUUUUGUUUAUUUUAAUAAUAAUGUUUAUUGUUAGUAAUUUAAAUAGUUAAGAAAAAACUAAUUUACUUUGUCUAUAGUGAAUUGUUUUUUCCCAUCCAAACCAUAAAAGUUGAAGUUCUUAUCUCAGAAAAUAAUGGACUUCCAUUGCUUGGGGGUCCAUUUUACAUGCUCCUGACAUUAAUUGAAUUGAGCCUUUUUCAUUUUUUGUAAAAUGAGAGGCAGCUUAGGAAGUCUGGCUGAAGAUUCUAUUUGGGAAAACAUAUCUUCUGUAUGUUUCUGAACUUGCUAUAACUCCUCUGUGCUCUUCCUGUUUUCUGUUAAGCUCAAGGAAGAACAUACAGAAAUGGUAACAAAUGUAGAAACAGAAGAUGCCUUUUCUGAAGUGGAUUUUCAAUCACUUAACCUAAGAAGAAACCUCUUCACACAAAAUGUAAAAGGCCAAAUUGAAUUGGUAUCAGGAACAUGUCAAAUGGGGCAAGCAGUGAAUAUUAGUUAUUUUCUUGAUAAGAAAAAUUCAAUUUGCAUGGUGUGGAUGGGAAACAAAAGAUUUAUCAUAG